rnacentral:misc_RNA from 1 species
GAUGAAGAACGUAGCGAAAUGCGAUAAGUAGUGUGAAUUGCAGAAUUCAGUGAAUCAUCGAAUCUUUGAACGCACAUUGCGCCCCUUGGUAUUCCAUGGGGCAUGCCUGUUCGAGUGUCAUUUGUACCUUCAAGCUCUGCUUGGUGUUGGGUGUUUGUCUCGCCUCUGCGUGUAGACUCGCCUCAAAACAAUUGGCAGCCGGCGUAUUGAUUUCGGAGCGCAGUACAUCUCGCGCUUUGCACUCAUAACGACGACGUCCAAAAGUACAUUUUUACACUCUUGACCUCGGAUCAGGUAGGGAUACCCGCUGAACUUAAGCAUAUCAAUAAGCGGAGGA